CAUCCACAUGCUGCUGCCGCUCGAGACUCAGGGCUCAAACGCACAGACGCGCAGUGUCAAAGGAGCAGCGUAGAGACAGCGCGCGGAGGAUCUCUAUCACUAGACUUCAAUUACGGAUACGUUUCACGAAAUAUCUGAUCCGAGCGGCCUUUUCUGACAGUUUUCGCCAUGAGUAGGGUUUCCCAUGCGAGAUAGAGUGCCUGGUAGUGGAUUCUGGUGGAAAGAGAACAGGAAAACGCUUAUUGUCACUUGGAUUUGAAGGCGCGAGACCCGCUCAGACACUCCACGCGCAGCUCGAGGAAAUCAAGCCCUCAGAAAUAUAUUUUCUGUCCGAACUCUUGCUUGUAAAGAGAAAGUUAUUUAGUUUUAUCCGGUUGUUUUGUUUCAUUGGUGUCGCUUCUGUUUAGGAUAUAAUAGCCACUAUGUUUCGGAGACGUUAAACUGAAAAGUCCGGGUUGAAUUUACACAUCCAACAUUUGAAGCGUAUUGAGAAAACAGGCGGGUCGUCAAACAGAAUAAAUUGUUAUCAGACUCAAGACACGAGCUGUUCUCAGUGGAUACAUUAGUGUACUAGAACAUUUUUAAAACAACACCAGAAGAACUUAAAGCUCUCACCAUUUCGACUUCACGCACUGGGUGAAUAUUCACCCAGAAAAGAUGGAUUUAUUCACAAAGCUCUCUGGAUCUUUACUUGUCUUGUGUUUAUCGGCUUUAGUUUAUGGUGAAGAAGAGGCAUGUGGUGGACAUUUGGAUGCUAGUGAUGCAGGCUACAUCACCACACCCGGAUACCCGCUGGAGUACCCACCCCAUCAGAACUGCAGAUGGGUGAUCACAGCGCCUGAACCGUCCCAACGCAUUGUCCUGAACUUCAACCCACACUUUGAGCUGGAGAAACUUGACUGCAGGUACGACUUCAUCGAGAUCCGGGAUGGUAACUCAGAGAGUGCUGAUCUGUUGGGAAGACACUGCAGUAACAUCGCCCCCCCUGCGAUCAUCUCCUCUGGUCCAGUUCUUCACAUCAAAUUUGUCUCAGAUUAUGCCCACCAGGGGGCAGGCUUCUCACUACGCUAUGAAAUCUUUAAGACAGGCUCUGACUGUUCCCGAAACUUCACCAGUUCAUCAGGCAUAAUCGAGUCUCCUGGCUUCCCUGACAAAUACCCCCACAAUCUAGAGUGCACCUUCAUCAUCAUCGUUCCUCCUAACAUGGACGUCACCCUUACCUUCCUGACCUUCGACCUGGAAAAUGACCCCUUGCAGGGGUCGGAGGGCGAGUGCAAGUACGACUGGCUGGUGGUGUGGGAUGGCCUCCCACAGGUUGGCCCUUUAAUUGGACGACAUUGCGGUACCAAAAUCCCAGCUGAAAUACAAUCAUCUACGGGUAUCCUUUCUCUAUCCUUUCACACAGACAUGGCCGUAGCCAAAGAUGGCUUCUCGGCCCGCUACAACAUGACACUCAAGGAGGUCAAUGACAACUUCCACUGCAGUAGUGCUCUUGGCAUGGAGUCAGGCAAGAUCAGCGAUGACCAGAUCUCUGCAUCGUCAACCUUCUAUGAUGGCCGUUGGUCUCCAAGACAGGCUCGCCUUAAUUUUGAGGACAACGCAUGGACGCCCAAUGAGGACAGCAACAAGGAAUACAUCCAGGUGGACCUGCAUUUCCUGAAGGUCCUGACGGGCAUCGCCACCCAGGGCGCUGUCUCCAAGGAGACACACAAGUCCUACUUUGUCACUACCUUUAAACUGGAGGUCAGCACUAAUGGAGAGGACUGGAUGAUCUACCGCUAUGGCAAGAACCACAAGAUUUUCCAUGCUAAUGCAGACCCCUCAGAGGUGGUCUUGAACCGGAUCCCUCAGCCUGUCUUAGCUCGGUUUGUCCGCGUCCGUCCACAGACAUGGAAGAAUGGAAUCGCUUUGCGGUUGGAACUUUACGGCUGUCAAAUCACGGAUGCUCCAUGCUCGGAGAUGCAGGGAAUGCUGUCUGGCCUCCUGCCCGAUUCCCAGAUCUCAGCCUCCUCCAUGAGGGACAUCCACGGGGCCACAGGUGCAGCCCGGCUGGUGGCCAGCCGUUCAGGGUGGUUCCCCAGUCCCACGCAGCCUGUGGCCGGGGAGGAAUGGCUGCAGGUGGACCUGGGAGUCCCCAAAACCGUACGGGGUAUCAUUACACAAGGGGCCCGUGGGGUGGACGGCAGUACCAGUGCGGAGAACCGAGCCUUCGUGCGGAAGUAUAAACUGUCCCAUAGCUUGAACGGAAAAGACUGGAGCUACAUUAUUGACCCAAAGACCAAUCUCCCAAAAAUUUUUGAGGGAAACACACACUACGACACCCCAGAGAUCCGCCGCUUCGACGAAAACGUGGCCCAGUUUAUCCGGGUGUAUCCGGAGAGGUGGUCCCCUGCCGGCAUCGGAAUGAGGCUUGAGAUACUGGGUUGUGAUUUACCUGAAUCUACCACCAUUCCUGACACAGCCACACCUACUCUGCCACUUCAGGAAGAGACAAGUACUGUCUACAGAACACUAGCUCCCACAACAUUCUCAUCUCUGGGUGGCCUGUGUGACUUUGAGCAGAGUAUGUGCGGAUGGACCCAUGACCCCACGUCUGAUCUGAAGUGGUCUCUGUACAGUUCGUCUAGUGCUAGUCUGGACCUGACACAGGGCUCUGACAACUUUGGGAAUUUCCUGUAUGUGGAAGCGAGUCCUAAGAUAGAGCCACAGCAUGCGAGGUUGGUGAGUCCAGCUGUGGGACCUGAGCGCCAUACCGUCUGUCUGCUUUUCUACUACCAGCUGCAGGGAGAGGGUCAUGACAGCCUUCGUGUGCUGCUCCUGGAAGACGACCAGGAGGAGACGCUGCUCUGGACUCUGAAAGGAGACCAGGGGCCUAUGUGGAGGGAGGGCCGCACCAUCCUGCCUCAGUCCCCUAAACAAUAUCAGGUUGUCAUAGAAGGCUUCUUUGAGCGGGGCAGUCGAGGGCAUAUCUGGGUCGAUAACAUCCACAUGAGCUCUAACACCGAGCUUGAGCAGUGCACACAACCCUUUGCUGCGUUUCCACCUGAAAUGACUGGGGGAGCCUUACCUGGCAGGAGUGACCCCACUGUUGACACGACAGUGUCCCUGCAGCCCAUGCCCACUUACUGGUAUUACGUAAUAGCCGGAGGUGGCGCCCUUUUCCUCCUGGGCUGCAUCAUGUUGGGCAUGGUGCUGUGUUGCCAUCGCUACCACCUGGCGGCCAAGAAGAGCCAGCACUCUGUGUCCUACCAGAGUACGUACACCGGACAGUACAUUGGCAACGGCACCGGGGGUCUCGCUGGUCCUGGGGUGGAGCCCAUGCUGACUAUUAGGUUAGAGAAGGAAGAGCCCUGCUCACAGUGCUGAAAGAAUACUGAUGUACAAUUUCAUCCUACUGUUUCAUAAUUAACUAACUAAAAACCAAACACGAGGAUGCCAAAAGACUUAAAGACUAGUUUUUGCACAGGAUAAGCUUCACUUUGAGCGCUGGACUUGGAUUGUGCCUCUAACGAAGAUGCUAAAAGAGGACACAAAGCACCAGAGAACACUUCUAUGGUGCUCAAGGGCUAAGAGAAAGUGGAAAUGUGCUGUGCAGAGGGGCAUCUAGCCACAAUCCUGAGUGGCAGGCACUCCUUUCUACUCUCCGUGUGGAGAAAGGCUGGAUGGGAACCUUACUCUGCAAAGCUCUAAUCUCCUGUUCAUGACCAAUCCUAUUGUACUGCCAAGAAAAUGCAUUGCCAAACUCUGAGGAGAGCCUAAGAGCAGAGAUGGACAGGAAAGGAUUGGAACACAAAAGGGAAACCAGAAAGGGAUCCUGUUGUCACAUGGAAACUUUUGCAUGUGUACUGCAUCUCAUGUGCACACUACAAGCUUCUAGACAGCGAAACAGACAAAACAUGAACUACAAACAGAAUUGCAAACUCUGGGACUCCUCCAUUGUUUCUAGAGGAAUCUAUGUGUGUAUCUUCUCAACAGGAUGUGAAAAUAAUCCCCCAUCAUGGACAGGCUGGCCCUUUCUCACCCGUUAAUCUGCUCUUCAUGAAAGAAUAUGUGGGAGAUGGAAGGCAAGAUCAAAGCAAAGCCUGCUCUAAAUAUAGACCUUCUCUGCAAAAUCCAGGGUCUAAAGGGGUUUGUUUAAAACACAAAAGUACAUGAAAGAUCCUUGCAGACAGCUAGAGAGACCACCUGACCUGGCAGACCCGUUGAAGAGAGGAGCAUUGUCUCUCUCAGGUCUCUCUCUCUCUCUAUUUCUCCUCUCAUCUCGCCUAAUCAACUAUACCGUAGAGUGUGUUCUGGGGAGAUGGGACAGUCACUGUGAGCUCCACACAACAGCUUUUCAUGUGAAAUAACAUCAAUUGUGUUCUGAAAGGUUUUUGAAAUUACAGUUUUUGAAAGAUUUGAAAUGAUUUGAGCCAUGUGGUCUUCGUUAUGGUGCCAUAUUGUGGGCCCUUUUGAAACUCUUUCUUGUUUAAAGACCCCAUUAAAUUUCUUAACAAGCAAAGUUUUCUGUCCUGUGUUGAUGUAUUUCCUAUUAAAACAGAAGUUUGGAUGCAACAUUUUUAUCAUCAUCAUCAUCAUCACAUUUUCUUUAAUUAGCCAUUAGGCUUUAGUUAUGUCACUGCCAUGAACCAUGAUCGACAUCUUGCUAUGUGGAAGGGUAUUCUUAUUCUAUAGAGCAUUUUAUUGAAUCUAUCUAGUGCAGUAUGAGUCAUAAAAAUAUUUGGUCCAUUUUAUUAAAUUUAUUCUGGAAGAGAAAUAUUGUAUAUUUCAAGUGUGUUGAUUUUGUCCACUUUUAGGAGUACACUGGCAGUUAGAUCACUUUAAAGCUAAUAGACUUGGACUAAAAGUCACAAAUUACAAUUCUGAUUUCAUGGGGUCUUUAAGGCAGAAUUUGAUGAUAUGCAACAUAUUUCUAUUACUUUUUGUUCCCUCUGAUUGAAUAUGUAACAAUGCUACCGUUAAAAUGGUCUCGUCUCAUCUCGUCUUGAGUGAUUAUCUUCUUUGACUUCUCACAUUUGACAAAUCAGUUCAUGAUAAAUUUUUCUGAAAAGUCCAAGUUAUUCAUAUGCUUGUAUGAUUAAUGUAUGCAUUUUAUAUUGAGCUGUUCACACAGACUAAGCGAUUGUGAUUUGUGAUUCUAUUUUGUAGAGGUUUUAACCUGUUACAUUUCUCCUUACAGAAACCUUUCUUUUUUAUUUAAAUCUCUUUUUCCACUAUUUUAGCUGUGUUGCAAAAAAAAAAAAAAAAAACAUCAGUUUCAGCUGCUUUUUGAGAUUUGAUUGAACCUUAAAUAUUUAAAAUUAUUUAAUGGACCCGAUUACAUUAUAUACUUAAUAUAAGCUGGAUUUAAGCAUUCUUGCUAGAGGCCCGAUCAUUUACCUGUCCCUCAAAAGAUAUUAAUUAAAAGCACUCAGUGAGGCCACGAUGAUGCCAAGAGCCUGUCUCUGACUUGCACAAAACUGUAUAUGCUCUCACCCCUCCUUAGAGGCAGAGAUAAUGUAAAGUGUAUGUCUGGAGAAAUUAUGAAUUUUAAUGUGCAAAAAAUAAUCCAGGUUGUAAACGCUAUACAUGCUUUAUUUAAAUAACAGGUCAGACUUUCUAUUAAAAGAAUGUACUCAUAAUUAAAUCUGUUCAGUCAACAAAAAUAUUUAAUCAUGUCAGAUGAACAUACUUUUGUGAUGUUCAUAAUGUCGACAUUAUGCUUAAUUUGUAUCUGUUUGAAACAAGUUCUAAUGAAUCUGUGGUUGUGUGCACACUUUUGUCCUUUGUGAAUUUGGGGCUUUGACCCUGUCAUCAGUAUUAGCCUGUUCUGUUCUGUUUACAAUGCAGCAUUUUAGCCUGUUUAAAUUCAGUAUGAGGUAUUUUAGCCUGUUGAAUUUCAUGGUCUUGGAAAUGUUGUAUUGAAUGUUACAAUAAAGUGAUAUUUUUCUACAAACUGCAGUUAAAGUGGUUUGUGCUUUUUAUUUUUAUGAUGUAAAACAGACUACUUGCAUUCAUACUUCCACAGCUUUUUGUACUCAAGUCAUAUGGUGUCGCCAUCAGUUAACAAACAAACUAUAUUACUAGCUCAUUGGACAAAACUGCACAAGCUGGAUCUUUUCUUGGAAUAUGCAAAAAAAAAGCCUGUUUUAUGUACUCUGCAGUCAAUUUGACAUCACUGAGUGUUUCAUUUUGGUUCUGUUUGUC